GCUGUUUGACUUUUAUCUUUGUUGCUUUAGUUUUUUUGCUUCUGCUUGCUUGCUUGCUAUGCUCUUGAAGUUGUGUGGCCUGUAAGAUGAAGCAGUUACUACAAUUGGUGAAUGGUCUAGAUGCUGCUUAUCCCUUUUCUGUUUCUGACUCUGAAUUGAUUGCGUUUGUUGUAGUGUCUGCACCACCGCCCUUUGAUUAGAAUGCAUGUUCCGGCAGUCCACGCAUCGAUCACUGGCAAAUUAAAAAGGCAUGAACGCACUAAACAGAAAUUCUGUGUAGAUGAUUCUUGUAUAUGGCAGUGGCACACGCGCUAGUUGAUGAAGCCGCUGGGCCGGAAGGCCCUCUCAUUGCCAUGCUAAUGAGUAUCACAACGAACAUGGCCCCCACCUCAAUGCCUCCCUGUCGGCGGUGAGGUCUGGCCGGAUCUGUACAACCCGCAAUAUUAGUAAAGAAAAAGAAUAGCUUGAUUGUUCUAUGACUCUGUCGUGGAUAGGUAAUUUGCAUCAGAGGUCUAUAGGAUCUCCGCCAUUAGUUUCCCAUUAGAAAAUUGAGUUACUAAAUUAAGGAAGAUGUCCAAAGAGAGGUAAUCGAUGGCAUGAUAUGCAUCAGAAGAUCCUCAUCACUGAAGUAGUACUCCACCAGUCCACCUACAGUUUUGGAACAUAUAAACACGGCAUCAAAGUGCUACCUGGCACCAAAUAAAGAGUUCAGGUCAGGGUGUUAUACUGCAGCUAAGCAGUAUAGUCUGAAUUUCUAAGUUUGAGGAGGAUUUCAGUGUUUCUAAAGAAAGGGACAAGGAUCAGGGCUAUAAUAUUGUUGAAAGACUCAGAGACAUGUACCAUGAAUUGGGUACAGUAUGCUUUCUACCCAUCUUUUCCUUAUAUUGACUAAACCUUAGUAAAUAACUAUUUCCAGUUUUCUCAUGUAACCUGAACUGCUGCUGGUUUAAAUUUUAGUUCCGCAAGCUGCGACACACAUGGUCUGCCUCCGUGUCGUCCUACCUGCUUCAGGGCCCUCUACUUCUUCCCCCAAGAUUGCCAUUAUGAUUAACAAAUCUGACGAGAGCAAUUUAAUUGGUGACACAUCAUAUUUAUUCUGCAACUGCAUGUGAAUUCUCAUCUUGCGCCUACCUCUUUUGCUUACCAGUGAAGAUGGAGAGCUUUAGGCAAAAAAAGAAAGAAAGAAAACUAGCACGUGAUCUAUGGAGAAUAAUUUUGACAGCAACUCCAACUAUGCAAUGGAGUACACUUGAUGCAAUCAAUUCUGGUGUGUGUGUGUGUGUGUGUGUGUGAUGCAAUGACGUAUGAAUAACAACAGAAAAAUAUGCCUGAGGAGUAUGGGAUUAACGUGCCCUAUAUGCGGUGAACUGCGGCUACUCCUCCCAGCCCCGGAUAUGCUCUUCCACCACCUGCGACCCGCAGCUCCAAUGAUCCACGACAAGGGAUGACGACCAACUCGGCUGCCCCUCCCUCGUGCAGCUCCCUCUAAGGCUGCAGCAGCCUUCGCACGAGGCCACUACGGUGCCACCUAUGCUGUCCUGAAGUUCCCUCAGAUUCGACAGUUUCAGUUUCAUCAGUUUCGUCAGAUUUAGUUCAUCAGAUUCAGAAAAUUCAGUUCAUUAGUUUCAUAAAGUUUCAGUUGUCAGUUAAUUUGUCAGGCACAUUGGCACUCGCGCACGUCGUCCGCUUCCUCACAUCACUCGCUCACAUAGCCCACCUGCCGAUCCAAACAACGGCUUGGUCAGGGAUCGGACUGGACCAGACGUUGUCCACCAUGACCUCAAGGCGAUGCCCGAGUCCAAGUGCGUGCCGUCAAUAUUCCAAACUGAAGUCCAAGGAAGAACGAUCAGGAACAGCAGAUUUCCAAUGGAUGCUGGUAUUGUCAGCUGACACCUCCGGGGAUGUACAUCAUGAUGGUUACGAAGACACGACGAUGAUCUCAAUGCUACAAAUCUGAAUGGAAUACCAUAACUGCAGACCUGAUCACAAUGCUACAGACUUGAAUGAAAUACCAUGAUUGCGGGCCUUUGCUGAUUUGCGUUUUCCAUUGAUCUUCAGUGCACUAAAGAAUAGUGAAAUCUUGGCAUCUGAUUCAUUUUGCAGGCUAUGCUUUUAACUCAAUGAAAAUGUGCAUUGUUAGUUGACCUUAUUGUCUGUUUGUAGCUAAUUGGGAGACAAACAUGGGCAAUGAGCAGCUUUUUUGAUGACAGUGCAAUCAAGGACUCACAUAUUCACUGAUGAAUCUACCUCUAUUUGGUACUGUGUAUAUACCUGAAAAUAGUAGCAUCGGCAUUGCAUAUUUAUUUUCUCAAUCAGCAACACUGUACUAGGGUCUUCAUCGGCAAUGUACAUAGUGAUGCUUAACUGCUGGUUUGAAUUAUUGGAUGCAUCUGUUGUGAGACAUUCAUGUGUUGUCAUAGUGACUUGCCUGCGCUCA